rnacentral:lncRNA from 1 species
AAAAAGGAAGUGCCAGACCAUAGAGUUAUAGGCGCUCUCAGAGACACUAUCCUCUUGAAAAUCUUGUCCAGCUGAGCAGUGACCUCUGUGGUGUCUUGAAAGCGGGGACAGAUCACAACAGUUGUCUUGGGAGAACAGGCUCGGA